UUUGACGCGUAGUUGACGCUGUAGUAGAAAAUUCGUGUUCUGCUGCCUUCGUGAUCAUCUCAUGUUUUCAAAACCUUGAAAAUGACAGUGUAAUUUUUUUGCGUUUGGCACUUUUGCCACCUUUGGCACUAAUGUAAAAGUCACAUGUAGGUGGAGCUCACCAAAAUUACAAAUCUGUCAAACCAUAUCUGUCACCCUACAGUCAAAAAUAAAACCAAAAUAUUAACAAAACGACUUCAAAUGGCUGCUAUUAUAAAACAUUUUGUGUCUAAAUCUCCAACAUUUUUUGCUACCUAAUCAAGCAAACCGAAAUUGUCUACGUUAAAUCCGUAGCCACAGAAUAUAUUCAACGGAACUGAUCAACAAACAUUAUGACAUCAUAAUUUGUGGUGGUGGUCCGGCAGGAAUAUCUAUGGCCUGUAGCACAAUCCAAAAAUACGAAACUCAGUGAUCGUCAGGUGCUUGUGUUAGAUGGUGCACCGAAGCUCAAAGGAUUUAAUGCCGACAAAUACGGAAAUCGAGUGUAUGUCAUCAACAAGUAGCGUUGCUGUGUAAAUCCACAGUGAUAUUAUUAUCGUGUCUAUGCUUGGUCUACUACUUCUUUCGAGCAAAGUAUUUUCAAACCAAGUAGUAUACCAUAAAGAAUUAAAGGGGGGAGAAGACGGUUUGAGUCUUUGCUAAAUGUCAAAAAAUAAUAUACAGAUGGCGCUAACUGUCAAAGUAGCUUUGAAAAGCUUUGUAUCUUUGCUAACUGUCAAAAGCGUGAGUAUACUAAAUGUCAAAAGCUUUUGACAGUUCUAACUGUCAGUGUACUAAAUGUCAAAAGCUUUGACAGUUAGAACUUUUGACAUUUCGAAAAAUAUCUGUCAAAAGCUCUUAUGUGUAUUAAUGCUGAGUAUAGCCACACCUUUUUUCUACGAACAAUUCGAACGUGUGUGUGUGUGUUGGCUUGGAAAAUUUGCCUGAAAGAAUUGUGUAUCACAUAUUAGAACAUUUAAAAUUGUACCCCGACGAAACUGACAUUGAAAUCACAGAAAAUUAUGGAAUAAUUUCUGUGAACAGUAGAACGUAUUAUAUUUUACUCCAAGAUCCAUCAGCUGAUCAAAUUGUAGAAUCUUGCUUUGCCAAACAUAAUUAUCCAAAUACUUGUGGCCACAAGUAUUUGAAAUGCCAACAAA